GUAUUGAUUGCGGGUUAGCGCAUAAAUGAGGUCAUUCUACACUUUUUAAAAGGGGUGUUUGUGUGAAAACGCAAGCCCCCCUCCCGGAUCGGUUUGAUCCCAAAGGGUUGCCCACGCGGUGGUGCACAAAAGGGUGAGAUGGAUUUUUAUGUGAGAGGACACACUCUGGCGUGCACGACUCUUGUGGUAAAAGUCAGCGACAGCCCUCGCAUGCCUCACACAUUUUGUACGAUAAUGAUCCUUCCGCAGGUUCACCUACGGAAA
rnacentral:misc_RNA from 1 species